rnacentral:rRNA from 2 species
UGGGGAAUAUUGGGCAAUGGGGGGAACCCUGACCCAGCAACGCCGCGUGAAGGAAGAAGGUUUUCGGAUUGUAAACUUCUGUCCUUGGUGAAGAGGAAGAGACGGUAGCCAAGGAGGAAGCACCGGCUAACUACGUGCCAGCAGCCGCGGUAAUACGUAGGGGGCGAGCGUGGUCCGGAAUGACUGGGCGUAAAGGGCGCGUAGACGGCUUUUUAAGGCGGGAGUGAAAGUCCUGCUUUCAAGGUGGGAAUUGCUUUGGAGACUGGAAGGCUUGAGUGCGGAGGAGGUAAGUGGAAUUCCCAGUGUAGCGGUGAAAUGCGUAGAGAUUGGGAAGAACACCAGUGGCGAAGGCGACUUACUGGGCCGUAACUGACGUUGAUGCGCGAAAGCGUGGGGAGCGAACAGG